GAUGAAGAACGUAGCGAAAUGCGAUAAGUAAUGCGAAUUGCAGAAUUCAGUGAGUCAUCGAAUCUUUGAACGCACAUUGCGCCCUGUGGUAUUCCGCAGGGCAUGCCUGUUCGAGCGUCAUUUCAACCCUCAAGCUCUGCUUGGUGUUGGGCCCUGCCCUCUGCGGCCGGCCCUAAAGACAGUGGCGGUGCCGCCUGGCCCUGAGCGUAGUACAUCUCUCGCUCCAGUGCCCGGUGGUAGCCUGCCAGAACCCCAGCUCUCGUGGUUGACCUCGGAUCAGGUAGGGAUACCCGCUGAACUUAAGCAUAUCAAUAAGCGGAGGA
rnacentral:misc_RNA from 1 species